rnacentral:lncRNA from 1 species
UCAGAGGUCAAAGUGUACAUAUUGUGUCUGUGUAUGAGUGUGUACACCUGUAUGUGCAUCUCUGUCAAAGAAAUAUACUGUCUAAAGACAGAACCCGGUCUUGCUUACUGCUGUGUUCCCAGUCCCCACAGUUAGACAUGACACUCAGUAAUCUUUGUUGAAUGAAUAAAUGAGUGGAAUCUUAUCUCCAUGAAAGAGGAAUUGACUUUUAAUUCAGGAAGUAUGGUAGGGACGCCUGGGUGGCUUAGCGGUUGAGCGCCUGCCUUCGGCCCAGGGCAUGAUCCUGGAAUCCCGGGAUCGAGUUCUACGUCAGGCUCCCUGCAUGGAGCCUGCUUCUCCCUCUGCCUGUGUCUCUGCCUCUCUCUCUCUCUCUCUCUCUCUCUCUCUGUCUCUCAUGAAUAAAUAAAUUAAAUAUUUUUAAAAAGGGGGGGUGAGAAGUAUGGUAAAUUCAUAUUUUGGUCUUUGUAAAUCUUAUAGUUAUAGCUAAAAUAGAGUUUUUCUUUUUUUAAUAGAGUUUUUCUUAAUAGUCCAUGUUUUAGUGUAACUCUGAUAUAUUUAGUUGUGAAUUAUUUAUAUUACACAUAUGAAGAAAAGAUUAUGGUAAUUUUGUUAAAAUAUAACUUGUUUCUGUCAAGGAAUAUGUUUCUAUAAAAAAAAAAAACUAAUAGAGAUUAGCUUUCUGUAACAGCACUUGAAAUGUCUCUUCAAUGAUUUCCUGAGAUUAUUUUAGAAUAGUGUCAUUUACAAAAAUAUCAACCUUAUAGAAUAUUAUCUUUUAUUUUAGGACUUCAUGAUUUUUUUUUUUUUUUUUUUGCACUGAAACGGUGAAAAGAACUAAGCAGACAAAUAUAGAAUAUAAAUUCACUCAUCAUCCUUCUAACAAAGGAUUAAGCCAUUUCAUCUUGGGACAUUAAGGUUUCAAACAACAUUUAAGCAUCCAUACUGUGAAAAGCAAUAAGCUAGAUGCCAGGUGUCUUGCUUUUAAAAAUUAUUUAAUCUAGUAAGUAGAUGAGGUAGAUCUACACAUAAAGUAGAGUAGGGGCACUUCUGUGGCCCAGUUGGUUAAGCAUCUGCCUUUGGCUCAAGUCAUGAUCCCAGGGUUCAACAUUGAGCCCCAAAUCCAUGUUCCCUGCUCAGUGAGGAGUCUGCUUCUUUUCCUUCUCCCUCUGUCUCUCCCUCCCACUCGUGCAUGCAUGCUCUCUCUCAAA